CUGGACUCUGAAUCCAGCGAUCCGAGU
rnacentral:piRNA from 11 species